UGAGGAAUAUUGGUCAAUGGGCGGAAGCCUGAACCAGCCAUCCCGCGUGCAGGAAGACAGCCCUAUGGGUUGUAAACUGCUUUUCCAGUGGGCGAAACACUCGUACGUGUACGAGAUUGACGGUACACUGGGAAUAAGCAUCGGCUAACUCCGUGCCAGCAGCCGCGGUAAUACGGAGGAUGCAAGCGUUAUCCGGAUUUAUUGGGUUUAAAGGGUGCGUAGGCGGAUGAAUAAGUCAGUGGUGAAAGGCUGCAGCUUAACUGUAGAAUUGGCGGUGAUACUGGUUAACUUGAGGAUGGGUAAAGCCGGCGGAAUGUGUAAUGUAGCGGUGAAAUGCUUAGAUAUUACACAGAACACCGAUUGCGAAGGCAGCUUACUGGGCCAUUACUGACGCUGAUGCACGAAAGCGUGGGGAGCGAACAG
rnacentral:rRNA from 1 species